rnacentral:tRNA from 1 species
GAGGCUAUGGCGCAACGGUUAACGCGUCGGAUUCCAGACCCGAAGACUGGGGGUUCAAAUCCCUCUAGCCUCA